rnacentral:rRNA from 1 species
UCAAACCGCGAACUUCUAAACCUUUGACGAUUGACUCAUGUUGCCUCGGCGGGUGCUCCCGCCAGAGGAUACAUCAAAACUCCUGUUUUAACGGUGUUGUCUGAGCUACAAGCAACGAAUCAAAACUUUCAACAACGGAUCUCUUGGUUCUGGCAUCGAUGAAGAACGCAGCGAAAUGCGAUAAGUAGUGUGAAUUGCAGAAUUCAGUGAAUCAUCGAAUCUUUGAACGCACAUUGCGCCCCUUGGUAUCCCGAGGGGCAUGCCUGUUCGAGCGUCAUUUCACCACUCAAGCCUGGCUUGGUGUUGGGCGACGUCCCCUUUGGGGACGCGCCUCGAAACGCUCGGCGGCGUGGCACCGGCUUUAAGCGUAGCAGAAUCUUUCGCUUUGAAAGUCGGGGCCCCGUCUGCCGGAAGACCUACUCGCAAGGUUGACCUCGGAUCAGGCAGGGAUACCCGCUGAACUUAAGCAUAUCAAUAAGCGGAGG